rnacentral:rRNA from 1 species
AGAGUUUGAUCCUGGCUCAGGAUGAACGCUGGCGGUAUGCCUUACACAUGCAAGUCGAACGGGAAUUAUCUUCGGUUAAUUCUAGUGGCGGACGGGUGAGUAACACGUGAGAAUUCUCCUUUAGGAGGGGGAUAACGAAUGGAAACAUUCGCUAACACCCCAUAUGCCCCUGGGUGAAAAAGAGGAGAUAAGUUAAACUGACUCCCCUCUGCCUGAAAAGAAGCUCGCGGCUGAUUAGCUAGUUGGUAGGGUAAUGGCCUACCAAGGCGACGAUCAGUAGCUGGUCCGAGAGGACGAUCAGCCACACUGGGACUGAGAUACGGCCCAGACUCCUACGGGAGGCAGCAGUGGGGAAUAUUGCACAAUGGGCGCAAGCCUGAUGCAGCGACGUCGCGUGAGGGAUGACGGCCUUCGGGCUGUAAACCUCUUUCACCAGGGACGAAGCGCAAGUGACGGUACCUGGAGAAGAAGCACCGGCCAACUACGUGCCAGCAGCCGCGGUAAUACGUAGGGUGCGAGCGUUGUCCGGAAUUACUGGGCGUAAAGAGCUCGUAGGUGGUUUGCCGCGUUGUUCGUGAAAACUCACAGCUUAACUGUGGGCGUGCGGGCGAUACGGGCAGACUAGAGUACUGCAGGGGAGACUGGAAUUCCUGGUGUAGCGGUGGAAUGCGCAGAUAUCAGGAGGAACACCGGUGGCGAAGGCGGGUCUCUGGGCAGUAACUGACGCUGAGGAGCGAAAGCGUGGGGAGCGAACAGGAUUAGAUACCCUGGUAGUCCACGCCGUAAACGGUGGGUACUAGGUGUGGGUUCCUUCCUUGGGAUCCGUGCCGUAGCUAACGCAUUAAGUACCCCGCCUGGGGAGUACGGCCGCAAGGCUAAAACUCAAAGGAAUUGACGGGGGCCCGCACAAGCGGCGGAGCAUGUGGAUUAAUUCGAUGCAACGCGAAGAACCUUACCUGGGUUUGACAUGCACAGGACGCUGGUAGAGAUAUCAGUUCCCUUGUGGCCUGUGUGCAGGUGGUGCAUGGCUGUCGUCAGCUCGUGUCGUGAGAUGUUGGGUUAAGUCCCGCAACGAGCGCAACCCCUAUCUUAUGUUGCCAGCGCGUUAUGGCGGGGACUCGUAAGAGACUGCCGGGGUCAACUCGGAGGAAGGUGGGAUGACGUCAAGUCAUCAUGCCCCUUAUGUCCAGGGCUUCACACAUGCUACAAUGGCCGGUACAAAGGGCUGCGAAUCCGCGAGGUGGAGCGAAUCCCUUGAAAGCCGGUCUCAGUUCGGAUCGGGGUCUGCAACUCGACCCCGUGAAGUUGGAGUCGCUAGUAAUCGCAGAUCAGCAACGCUGCGGUGAAUACGUUCCCGGGCCUUGCAAUCACCGCCCGUCAAG